rnacentral:rRNA from 1 species
CGACCGGCGCACGGGUGCGUAACGCGUAUGCAACCUACCUUUAACAGGGGAUAACACUGAGAAAUUGGUACUAAUACCCCAUAAUAUCAUAGAAGGCAUCUUUUAUGGUUGAAAAUUCCGAUGGUUAGAGAUGGGCAUGCGUUGUAUUAGCUAGUUGGUGGGGUAACGGCUCACCAAGGCGACGAUACAUAGGGGGACUGAGAGGUUAACCCCCACACUGGUACUGAGACACGGACCAG